CCAGCACCCCGAGUGGUCGGGACGAUUAUUGGGCCUAAAGCAUCCGUAGCCGGUUUUACAAGUCCUCCGUUAAAUCCAGCUGCUUAACAGAUGGGCUGCGGAGGAUACUAUAAGACUAGGAGGCAGGAGAGGCAAGCGGUACUCAGUGGGUAGGGGUAAAAUCCGUUGAUCCAUUGAAGACCACCAGUGGCGAAGGCGGCUUGCCAGAAUGCGCUCGACGGUGAGGGAUGAAAGCUGGGGGAGCAAACCGGAUUAGAUACCCGGGUAGUCCCAGCUGUAAACGAUGCAGACUCGGUGAUGGACUAGCUUUAUGCUAGUCCAGUGCCGCAGGGAAGCCGUUAAGUCUGCCGCCUGGGUAGUACGGCCGCAAGACUG
rnacentral:rRNA from 1 species